rnacentral:rRNA from 1 species
UGCUUUAUGAAAUUAUAUAUAAAGUUUUUUUCCUGCCCAGUGAUUAAUAUGAUUAUACGGCCGCAGUACCCUGACUGUGCUAAGGUAGCAUAAUAACUUGUCUUUUAAUUGGAGUCUAGAAUGAAAGGAUGAACGGGAAAAUUCUGUCUUGCUUGAAAGUUUAAUAUAAUUUGCUUAUAAGGUGAAAAUUCCUUAAUUUAAGAAAAAAGACGAGAAGACCCUUAGAAUUUGUAAUAUUUAAUUAUAAUUAAUUAGUUAGUUUUGUUGGGGUGACAAUAUAAAGAACAAUAGAUUUAUAUAUCUAAAACUUCUUUUUGGUUAAAAAUAAUUACACGACAGAUAGGAACACAAUUUUGUUUUUCCCACUUCUCAUGGAAGAAAAAAUUACCUAAGGGAUAACAGCAUAAUUUAAUUUUUAAGAUUAUGACCUCGAUGUUGGACUAGGGACCCUACAAUUAGAAGUUGGACGGGAUCUGUUCUGUUCGAACAGUUUUAUCCU